rnacentral:rRNA from 1 species
GGUCAAGCGAAUAAGCGCACACGGUGGAUGCCUUGGCGGUCAGAGGCGAUGAAGGACGUGGCAGCCUGCGAAAAGUAUCGGGGAGCUGGCAACAAGCUUUGAUCCGGUAAUGUCCGAAUGGGGAAACCCACCCGCUUGCGGGUAUCCUGCAGUGAAUACAUAGCUGCUGGAAGCGAACCUGGUGAACUGAAAUAUCUAAGUAACCAGAGGAAAAGAAAUCAACCGAGAUUCCGUAAGUAGCGACGAGCGAACGCGGACUAGCCCUUAAGCUGGAUUGGUUCUAGGAAAACGCUCUGGAAAGAGCGGCCAUAGAAGGUGAUAGCCCUGUAUCUGAAAGGGCCAUUCCAGUGAAGACGAGUAGGGCGGGGCACGUGAAACCCUGUCUGAACAUGGGGGGACCAUCCUCCAAGGCUAAAUACUACUGACCGACCGAUAGUGAACCAGUACCGUGAGGGAAAGGCGAAAAGAACCCCGGAGAGGGGAGUGAAAUAGAACCUGAAACCGUGUGCGUACAAGCAGUAGGAGCUCCGCAAGGAGUGACUGCGUACCUUUUGUAUAAUGGGUCAGCGACUUACUGUUCGUGGCAAGCUUAACCGUAUAGGGGAGGCGAAGGGAAACCGAGUCUGAUAAGGGCGCAUAGUCGCGGGCAGUAGACCCGAAACCGGGUGAUCUAGUCAUGCCCAGGGUGAAGGUGCGGUAACACGCACUGGAGGCCCGAACCCACUCCCGUUGCAAAGGUAGGGGAUGAGGUGUGAUUAGGAGUGAAAAGCUAAUCGAACCCGGAGAUAGCUGGUUCUCCUCGAAAGCUAUUUAGGUAGCGCCUCAUAUGUAUCCUCUCGGGGGUAGAGCACUGUUAUGGCUAGGGGGUCAUCGCGACUUACCAAACCAUUGCAAACUCCGAAUACCGAGACGGACUGUAUGGGAGACACACGGCGGGUGCUAACGUCCGUCGUGAAAAGGGAAACAACCCAGACCCACAGCUAAGGUCCCAAAUUUUGUGCUAAGUGGAAAACCAUGUGGAAAGGCACAGACAGCCAGGAGGUUGGCUUAGAAGCAGCCACCCUUUAAAGAAAGCGUAAUAGCUCACUGGUCGAGUCGGUCUGCGGGGAAGAUUUAACGGGGCUAAGCACAGAACCGAAGCUUGGGGUGCAUAACUUUGUUAUGCGCGGUAGAGGAGCGUUCCGUAAGCCGUUGAAGGUGGAUUGAGAAGUCUGCUGGAGGUAUCGGAAGUGCGAAUGCUGACAUGAGUAACGAUAAUGCGGGUGAAAAACCCGCACGCCGAAAGCCCAAGGUUUCCUUGCGCAACGUUAAUCGGCGCAGGGUGAGUCGGCCCCUAAGGCGAGGACGAAAGUCGUAGUCGAUGGGAAGCAGGUUAAUAUUCCUGCACCUCGCGUAAGUGCGAUGGAGGGACGGAGAAGGUUAGGUGUACCAGGCGUUGGUUGUCCUGGGGAAAGGCGGUAGGUUUGGAUCUUUGGCAAAUCCGGGAUCCUCUAAGACCGAGCACCGAGACGAGCCUUUAUGGCGAAGUCACUGAUACCACGCUUCCAGGAAAAGCUCCUAAGCUUCAGCUUACGCAGACCGUACCGUAAACCGACACAGGUGGGUAGGAUGAGAAUUCUCAGGCGCUUGAGAGAACUCGGGUGAAGGAACUAGGCAACAUGGCACCGUAACUUCGGGAGAAGGUGCACCCUUUUUGGUGGCUCGUGCGAGCUAUAGCUGAAGAGGGUCGCAGUAACCAGGCCGCUGCGACUGUUUAUCAAAAACACAGCACUCUGCAAACACGAAAGUGGACGUAUAGGGUGUGACGCCUGCCCGGUGCUGGAAGGUUAAUUGAUGGGGUCAGCCGCAAGGCGAAGCUCUUGAUCGAAGCCCCAGUAAACGGCGGCCGUAACUAUAACGGUCCUAAGGUAGCGAAAUUCCUUGUCGGGUAAGUUCCGACCUGCACGAAUGGCGUAACGACAGCGGCGCUGUCUCCACCCGAGACUCAGUGAAAUUGAAAUCGCUGUGAAGAUGCAGCGUUCCCGUGGCAAGACGGAAAGACCCCGUGAACCUUUACUAUAGCUUUACACUGAACGUUGAGUUCGUCUGUGUAGGAUAGGUGGGAGGCUAUGAAACUGUGGCGCUAGCUGCAGCGGAGCCAUCCUUGAAAUACCACCCUGUCGUGCUUGACGUUCUAACCUGGGCCCAUUAUCUGGGUCGGGGACCGUGUAUGGUGGGUAGUUUGACUGGGGCGGUCUCCUCCUAAAGAGUAACGGAGGAGCUCGAAGGUACGCUCAGCGCGGUCGGACAUCGCGCACUGUGUGCAAAGGCAUAAGCGUGCUUGACUGCAAGAUCGACGGAUCAAGCAGGUAGGAAACUAGGACUUAGUGAUCCGGUGGUUCUGUAUGGAAGGGCCAUCGCUCAACGGAUAAAAGGUACUCCGGGGAUAACAGGCUGAUACCGCCCAAGAGUUCAUAUCGACGGCGGUGUUUGGCACCUCGAUGUCGGCUCAUCACAUCCUGGGGCUGUAGUCGGUCCCAAGGGUAUGGCUGUUCGCCAUUUAAAGUGGUACGCGAGCUGGGUUCAGAACGUCGUGAGACAGUUCGGUCCCUAUCUGCCAUGGGCGUUGGAGAUUUGAGAGGGGCUGCUCCUAGUACGAGAGGACCGGAGUGGACGAACCUCUGGUGUUCCGGUUGUCACGCCAGUGGCAUUGCCGGGUAGCUAUGUUCGGAAGCGAUAACCGCUGAAAGCAUCUAAGCGGGAAGCGCGCCUCAAGAUGAGAUCUCCCGGGGCACAAGCCCCCUGAAGGAACCAUGUAGACUACGUGGUUGAUAGGUCAGGUGUGUAAGUACAGCAAUGUAUUGAGCUAACUGAUACUAAUGAUCCGUGCGGCUUGACCAU